AUGGGCGACCACUACGGUACGCUCGGGGUGCGGCCCGACGCUACCAAGGCCGAGGUCAAGGCCGCCUUCCGGCGCCGCGCCCUGCGGGACCACCCCGACCGCCACGCUCAAUCCGGUGACGCCGGUGCCCGAGCCGAAGCCGCGCGGCGCUUCCGCCAGGCCUCCGACGCUUACCACGUCCUCUCCGACGACCGAAGGAGGGCCGAGUACGACCUCCGUCUCCGCUCUUCCUCCUAUGUCCGCACAUCCUCCUCCACCUGGGCCUCCUCCUCGGGUUCGCACGGUUACGGCUACGGGCACAGGGAAAGUUCUUGGCGGCGGCCGCCUCCGGGAGGCGGAGGCGCAUCGGUGGGAUAUGAUUGGGGCUUGUUGCUGAAGGCGAUGACGCGGCGAAGGUUCCUUCUCAAUCUCGGCUUCUCCAGUGUAUUGCUUUCUGGUGCAGCUUUUCUUGAUGGAAGUAUUCUGGAACUCUGGAACAUGAAUAACUCCGGGAAAUCAUUUGAAGAAGCAAUGGAGUCGAUUGAGAACGUAAAAGGGGGAAAGGGGAAUAGGUAG
rnacentral:rRNA from 1 species